UUGGUGGUAAACUGUUAAAUCGCG
rnacentral:siRNA from 1 species